AUGCUUGCUUCAGCAACACAUACACUAAAGUUGGAACAAUAACAAGGCCCCUGAGCGAGGACAGCACACAGAUUUGUGAAGUGUUCCAUAUUAAA
rnacentral:snRNA from 1 species